UGGGUAGUGGACCGCCGUUGCUAUCGUGUAGCAACCAGCUGUGACGGUGGAAGGUGGGAAGGUUGAUGACGUGUACAUUCAAUACGUGUCAAUUACUUGGUCCAGUCCCCGCCUUCCACGCUUUCAAAUAUUUGCCACGUUUUUUUUCCUCUCAGUGUGAAACUGCCUUUCACUUCCUUUUUCUUUCUCUCUCUCCCUCGAACGGGAAAUGCAAACGCUCAAACGCGGAUGACGCCAUAUUUUUUAUGCUUUAAAAUUCUCCCUCGUUCCAAAAUCCGGCUCUUACUUCCUGAGAUUUUUUCUACUAGAAUUACAUGUUCUGAAUUCUUAUGCGUGCCGUCGUCAUGAGCGGUGGCGGAACGGUGAGAGAAAUCUGUAGCUGUUGCAGACGUUAAACGAACAGGAAAACUGCCGUCGCGCAGUCGGGAACAUGCAGACAACGGCCAUGCACGAUGGAUCUCAGAGAGAAACGUGAGAAUUUUUCUCUAAUCAAGCUUCUCGCGAAGUUUUCUGAGAUUAGAGGGGGCGCGUUAAACGGUAUGGUGGAUAAAGCUGAAAUUUCUGCCACCGCGGCUAGAAAAAGGUAGAAUCGCUGCCGCUGCCGAGCUCGGUGUUAACUUCUUUUGAAAAGACGUUAAAAUUCAACGAAGUAUACUCUCAAAAAGGUCAGAAUGACUUCUAAUAAAGCUGAAGAUGCAUUAUGGUUGUCUGUCAGAAUGUGGUGCCGCAUGGUAAAGUUGAAGCAUCUUUCAUUUUUCUUGAAGCCAAACCCCAAAUUUCUCAAACUCUACCCAGCUUGUUUUCAUGCUUAUCAUGAUGAUAAUAGUUUUGAAAAAGAAUCAUCCCCGCCAAAAAAAAAAAAUUCAAGUAGCUUGUGAUCUAUUAUGAGCGGGAGUUUGAAUGGAAAAUAGAUUGGGAGAGACGCUGUGGAGGCCUUGGGUUUAUGGCGAAUUUUAGGUUCUAGAUGUAUACGCUGACUUCAUGUUUCAACCAGUACUAAAAUGGGAGAAACGCCAUGAGUGGAGGACAUUCAAAAGCUAUUCGUUUCAAGAUCAUCUUAGAGUAAAAUUCAUUCAUGUAAUUAGAAAAGCGUCAACUCUAAACAUUAUGUUGUGCUCCGCAUUUCUUGGGAAAAUUUUCAAAGUAACUGGUAAGUAAUGAGGGAAUGGAGUUUAUUGGGUCGGAUACACUGUUUCUUUUUUUAAAAAAGAAAAAAGGGGGAAAAAACAGUUUCCUAUUUGGUCGAAUAGCUUAUUCAAUAAUAUGUUUUCAUGAUUUAGAAAUAUGUCGAUUUAAUGACCGGAUAUUGCAUUAUUACUGUUUGCAGGUUCGUGUCUUACAUUUCAAGUAAGAUUUUUCUCUAUUAUUCUGAUAAAUUCAAUUCAACCUAAGAAAAGAACAAGAAAAUUAUUUUACAGCAAUUAUGUAGACUUCUUUUCGUUGGAUCUUAGUUUUGAAGUAGAAAGAAGAGUUUGUUUCCAUGUUCAAUUUCUAAAUAGGUGGCAUCCCUAUAGGAUAUAUACUUCUUGGAUGUUCGAGUUUUGUGCGUGUAUUGGGAAUAUUUGAGCUGCAAAUAUUUUUGGUCUUUCAACAAAGUUGUAUGAUGCUCGAGAUAUGGUUCUACCUGUAUUGAAAUUGUUUUAGCUUUUAUGCUUUGAUUUUGUUCAAUUAAACUAAAAUUGAAUUUUUAUCUUGAAUAAACAUAAAACUCACUGCUUUGCAAUGUUUCCACUUUUUUCGUGUUUAGAGUUGUUUUUAAAAAUAGUAAAAUAAAUUAAAAUAUUUUUAAAAACAGUAAAAUAAAUUAAAAUAUUUGUAACCGAUUGAUACAUGUCUAUAUUAGUCCAUUAAUAUCAUACAUUUGUCUGAAAAUUUUAUUAUAUGUUUUUUUCUGUCAUAUUUUUUGACAUUUUUUUUCAUUUAGGUAUGCAUGCGAUUUGGUGUAUUAAUUUCUUCUCGUUUCUGCAUAGAAAAACCAUUCCGGGAUUUUUUAUUAUUAUUAUUAUUAUUAUUUUACUUUUGGAGUUUUUAAUGAAAGAAACGUAGAAUUGUGAAUGUUGGGUUGAAUUUUGGGAAAUUAUUUUAAAUGAUAAAACAAUAUAUUUACAAAAUUUUAGGUUAUAUUUGAUAUGUUGAUUUGAGUCAUCAUCAUUGAAAUGUUGCUAUUCUUGCUAUUCUUUGUUAGUUUGAAAUUGUCCCUUGAUUUUUCACAUUAACCAAGAGUAAUAUUUGCUUUGUUUUUGUUUUAGAGUCUCAGGUUUGAGUUUUUGGUUUGGGUAGUUGAUUCUUGGAGCAGCAAAACUUUUUAAAAUAGCAAAAUAAAUUAAUUGAAACUAUAGCUUAUCGAUUACUAUAUAGAAAGGUUGUAAAUAAAUGUAUUUAACUAUGGAUUCCGUUGAGUUACUUCCAAAGAAAACAAAAUCAAUGCCAUUAAAUAAGCUUAAAUUGAUUCUAUGUAUAGAAACAAAAUUGAAUGAGUUAUCUCUAUUAUUUAGUUUAUUUUGGUGGGAGAGCUAGAAAUUUAUCUGAAAACAUAUUAAUUUGUGGGGGGGAAAAAAGGUACGUAUGUAUAUAGAAUAUGAUUCUCUAACGAAGUGCUUUAAUAAACCAAUUUAUUGUUGAGUUAUCAAACAUUUUAUGAUAAUUGAGUUUGGUCAGAUUUCUUCUUAUAUUCAACCGAAGAACAGUGUUGGCUCUAAGAUUAGAGAUAAUAUAUUUUUUUGGUGGUUUCGCUUUUGUUUGCUAAUAUUUCUCAAUUAGGUUUUCAAGUAGGUCAUAAACUAAUGAAUAAGUGCAUACGCGCACAAACUAAAUUGUAAAAUAUUCCCAUCUAUAAAAUUAGUAAAAUAUUAGUUGGUGCAAAUUAAUUACAAUUUAUAUAUACAUUGAUUGGGUCGUUGGUCUAUUACUAUUUAAUAAUAAUUUUCGGGUUUGGAUUUGUUUAAGAUUAAAUUAUGUUAAACCACUCUGUAGCUUGUAUAUUUAACCUAAUUUGGAUUUGAAAAGAAAAAACUUGCUGAAUGUAAUUAUUUUUGUAGAAAGAAAAUAUGUCUCAUCCAUAAUCAGGAUUAAGCCUCUCCCGAGUAAACUAAUUGUCACCGACCAAUUUCAUAACUGCUAAGUUUAGCAAUUAGUCGUAAUUAAAUGGUAUAAAAAUAUGAUGUUUGUGAUUAAUUAAUUACUGCCCUUCUACUCUCUUUUGUUUUCUUUCUUUUUUUCUUUUAAGUUGAAGGUUAUUUAAUGUCGUUCAAGUGAUUAACCUUUAAGUUCUUUUUUUAGUUAGGAGUGGAGAAUUGUUGAUCUCACUUAGUUGCAAGGUCGUUAUAAUAAGAAUCAGCCCUGUCAUCGCCAAAACCCAAUGUUUCUAUACUACUAAGUUAUGGUAAUAUAUUCUUAUUUUUUUCCUUUAGGUAGUACAUUUAAUAUUUCUCUUUCUUCGUUUAUUAAGUGGGUUUGGAUGUCCCUUCUAUUUUCCAUUUUUUGUUUUAUCUUAAAUUUAAAACAUUACCUUCUAAGUAAUAAUAUAUAGAAAUAUGUAUGAUAUGAUCUUUCAAGGAAAGGCAUAUCAGAAAGUUUUGUAUUCUUUUUCUGUAUUGUUUGGUUUCUUAUAUAUGUAUUCCAUUCAAGAACACUCAUUUUUAUCUACAAUUAAUGAAAGUCUUCAUGUCAAUUGCGUAGG